GGGCCGCUAGCUCAGUCGGGAGAGCGCCGCCUUUGCACGGCGGAGGUCAGGGGUUCGACUCCCCUGCGGUCCACCA
rnacentral:tRNA from 1 species